AUUGAACGCUGGCGGCAGGCCUAACACAUGCAAGUCGAACGGUAACAGGAAGAAGCUUGCUUCUUUGCUGACGAGUGGCGGACGGGUGAGUAAUGUCUGGGAAACUGCCUGAUGGAGGGGGAUAACUACUGGAAACGGUAGCUAAUACCGCAUAACGUCGCAAGCCCAAAAAGGGGGACCUUCGGGCCUCUUGCCAUCGGAUGUGCCCAGAUGGGAUUAGCUAGUAGGUGGGGUAACGGCUCACCUAGGCGACGAUCCCUAGCUGGUCUGAGAGGAUGACCAGCGACACUGGAACUGAGACACGGUCCAGACUCCUACGGGAGGCAGCAGUGGGGAAUAUUGCACAAUGGGCGCAAGCCUGAUGCAGCCAUGCCGCGUGUAUGAAGAAGGCCUUCGGGUUGUAAAGUACUUUCAGCGGGGAGGAAGGGAGUAAAGUUAAUACCUUUGCUCAUUGACGUUACCCGCAGAAGAAGCACCGGCUAACUCCGUG
rnacentral:rRNA from 1 species